UAGGCCUUAGUAGCGCAGCUAACGCGUGAAGUUGACCGCCUGGGGAGUACGGUCGCAAGAUUAAAACUCAAAGGAAUUGACGGGGACCCGCACAAGCGGUGGAUGAUGUGGAUUAAUUCGAUGCAACGCGAAAAACCUUACCUACCCUUGACAUGUCUGGAAUGCCGAAGAGAUUUGGCAGUGCUCGCAAGAGAACCGGAACACAGGUGCUGCAUGGCUGUCGUCAGCUCGUGUCGUGAGAUGUUGGGUUAAGUCCCGCAACGAGCGCAACCCUUGUCAUUAGUUGCUACGCAAGAGCACUCUAAUGAGACUGCCGGUGACAAACCGGAGGAAGGUGGGGAUGACGUCAAGUCCUCAUGGCCCUUAUGGGUAGGGCUUCACACGUCAUACAAUGGUCGGGACAGAGGGUCGCCAACCCGCGAGGGGGAGCCAAUCUCAGAAACCCGAUCGUAGUCCGGAUCGCAGUCUGCAACUCGACUGCGUGAAGUCGGAAUCGCUAGUAAUCGCGGAUCAGAAUGUCGCGGUGAAUACGUUCCCGGGUCUUGUACACACCGCCCGUCACACCAUGGGAGUAGGUUUCACCAGAAGUAGGUAGCCUAAC
rnacentral:rRNA from 1 species